UUUUUGGAGGGGCAAGUCUGGUGCCAGCAGCCGCGGUAAUUCCAGCUCCAAUAGCGUAUAUUAAAGUUGUUGCAGUUAAAAAGCUCGUAGUUGAACCUUGGGUCUGGCUGGCCGGUCCGCCUCACCGCGAGUACUGGUCCGGCUGGACCUUUCCUUCUGGGGAACCUCAUGGCCUUCACUGGCUGUGGGGGGAACCAGGACUUUUACUGUGAAAAAAUUAGAGUGUUCAAAGCAGGCCUUUGCUCGAAUACAUUAGCAUGGAAUAAUAGAAUAGGACGUGUGGUUCUAUUUUGUUGGUUUCUAGGACCGCCGUAAUGAUUAAUAGGGAUAGUCGGGGGCGUCAGUAUUCAGCUGUCAGAGGUGAAAUUCUUGGAUUUGCUGAAGACUAACUACUGCGAAAGCAUUCGCCAAGGAUGUUUUCAUUAAUCAGGGAACGAAAGUUAGGGGAUCGAAGACGAUCAGAUACCGUCGUAGUCUUAACCAUAAACUAUGCCGACUAGGGAU
rnacentral:rRNA from 1 species